GCCUGGGUGGCUCAGUUGGUUAAGUGUCUGACUUCGACUCAGGUCAUGAUCUCACAGAUCAUGGGUUUGAGCCCCAUGUCCGGCU
rnacentral:tRNA from 1 species